rnacentral:ncRNA from 1 species
UUAACGGUCCUUUUCAGGGCCAACAAUAUUUAAAAAAAAUUUCAA